rnacentral:pre_miRNA from 1 species
UAUGCACUGGUGGGGUCCCUCGGCCUGGCCUGUGCCCUCUCGCAAUCCAGAACCCCAAUCCGGGACCCCUCAGGGGAUGUCAGAGAGCCGGUUUUGGCCCAAUCCCACAGGCCAGGCUGAGGGACCCCACCAGUACACA